rnacentral:tRNA from 1 species
UAAAUGAAAACCAAAAAGAGGUAUUUGACUGUUAAUCAAAGUACUGUUAUAAUUAACUCAUUUAG